CACUUCGCUUCCCUUCAUUGAAUGGGGCUCUGUUGUUUCAUCGCCCCCAACGAUUUCAAAGGUUACAGCCAUUUGAGACUGAAAAGCCCUAUACGGAUUGACUAACUGUGGUUUGCAUGCCGUGCCAAAGGACCCUUUCAUGAGGAAUAGGUGGUUGGAGUUUGUUGGUCCCCACUGAUGGACCUGAGCCCUAGGAACAUGCCUCAGGACUACCUGGCAUGAUGACUCCUUGCUGUCCCCAGUCCACCUGGCCGUGGUGCUGCUCCAGUUUCGAGGGUGCUCCACUGUUCUGCCUGCGGCUAUGGAACCCUGACCUGCUCACCGGACGUGCUUGUUGCACCCUCGACAACUACUAUGAUUAUUAUUAUUUGACCAUGCUGGUCAUUUAUGAACAUUUUAACAUCUUGACCAUGUUCUGUUAUAAUAUCCACCCGGCACAGCCAGAAGAGGACUGGCCACCCCUCAUAGCCUGGUUCCUCUCUAGGUUUCUUCCUAGGUUUUUGGCCUUUCUAGGGAGUUUUUCCUAGGGAGUUUUUCCUAGCCACCGUGCUUCUUUCACAUGCAUUGCUUGCUGUUUGGGGUUUUAGGCUGGGUUUCUGUACAGCACUUUGAGAUAUCAGCUGAUGUACGAAGGGCUAUAUAAAUACAUUUGAUUUGAUGAUAACAGAUAACAGAAAAGAGUGACGGAGUAUUUUAUUUUAAGUAUAUUUGUCAUCUAUUUGUCAGUCUACCUCUUCAUAUGUGCUUUUCUUUAAAAAUCCUCUCCUCUAUUCACACAACAAUCAGGACUUUACAGUGCACAGGUAUCUCAGACUCCGAGCUGAGCAACUCACACACCCUGUUAGAUCAAAGAAAACACUCUUACACACACUGCAACAACACCAUGCACAGUAGUGACACACACACACUACCACUUGAACUCCUAAGAAUGUGAUUAUAUAAUUUUGAGGCGUGCUUUACCACUAGCUAGGUUUCCAUACACUUUGACAGAUUUUCAUGCAGAUAUUCUAAAAUCUACAUAAAAACAAUAUGCACUUUUUCCCACCAGAGACAUGAUACCAGCAAAUUGACUUGUUGUGCUAUACUACAGAUAAAAUGCUGUGCGUGAUGUCAUAGUGCACGUCAAAAUAAUUUAUGCGGUUAAAUUCUCAUAUACCGAAUAAACAAAUACAACUUAAA